rnacentral:misc_RNA from 1 species
GAAAUGCGAUAAGUAAUGUGAAUUGCAGAAUUCAGUGAAUCAUCGAAUCUUUGAACGCACCUUGCGCUCCUUGGUAUUCCGAAGGGCAUGCCUGUCUGAGCGUCAAUAAAUCAAUCAAAUCUCGGUUUGGAUUUGGAUGUUUGCCGGUGAUGAACCGACUCAUCUUAAAAGUAUUAGCUGGAUCUGUCUAUAUGACUGGUUUGACUUGGCAUAAUAAGUAUUUUGCUGAGGACAUCUUCGGAUGGCCAGUACCUAGACUACUGUCUGCUAACUAAACCAUCACUUUAAGUGCAUCUUUGGAUGUUACUCAUUGUGUAACUUUGACAUCUGGCCUCAAAUCAAGUAGGACUACCCGCUGAACUUAA